rnacentral:tRNA from 1 species
UCCCUGGAGGACUAGUGGUUAGGCCACAGCGCUCUCACCGCUGCAGCCCGGGUUCGAUUCCUGGCCAGGGAA